AUUGAACGCUGGCGGCAUGCUUUACACAUGCAAGUCGAACGGUAUCAGGCCGCAAGGUGCUGACGAGUGGCGAACGGGUGAGUAAUGCAUCGGAACGUGCCCAGUCGUGGGGGAUAACGCAGCGAAAGUUGCGCUAAUACCGCAUACGAUCUAUGGAUGAAAGCGGGGGACCGUAAGGCCUCGCGCGAUUGGAGCGGCCGAUGUCAGAUUAGGUAGUUGGUGGGGUAAAGGCUCACCAAGCCGACGAUCUGUAGCUGGUCUGAGAGGACGACCCGCCACACUGGGACUGAGACACGGCCCAGACUCCUACGGGAGGCAGCAGUGGGGAAUUUUGGACAAUGGGCGCAAGCCUGAUCCAGCAAUGCCGCGUGCAGGAAGAAGGCCUUCGGGUUGUAAACUGCUUUUGUACGGAACGAAACGGUCCUGGUUAAUACCCGGGGCUAAUGACGGUACCGUAAGAAUAAGCACCGGCUAACUACGUGCCAGCCGCCGCGGUAA
rnacentral:rRNA from 1 species